GCUGUAUGUAGCUCAGUGGCAGAGCGCUUGCCUAGCACGUGUGAGGCACUGGGUUCGAACCUCAGCACUGCA
rnacentral:tRNA from 1 species